AGUUCGGAUUGAAGGCUGAAAUUCGCCUUCAUGAAGCCGGAAUUGCUAGUAAUGGCAGGUCAGCAUACUGCCGUGAAUACGUUCCCGGGCCUUGUACACACCGCCCGUCACACCAUGAGAGUUGGGAAUACCCGAAGCCUGUGAGCUAACUUUUAGAGGCAGCAGUCGAAGGUAGAAUCAAUGAUUGGGGUGAAGUCGUAACAAGGUACC
rnacentral:rRNA from 1 species